AGAAAAUAAAUCUGUGUUGCAAGCUUCAUCGUCUUUCCGAGUUGGAGGAGUCUAGCCUUCCAUGGAACUCUUGCGUGCUGAUAUCCUUUGGUUGAGCAGAUAUAUUAUUUGGAAGGUUAGAGAUGGAAGAGGGGUGGGGGGGCUGGUAUGUGAUGGAUGGUGGAAGCUUUUUGGAUGUUUGGAGGGUUAGACUAGAUAAAAUAUGGAAUGAGAAUGAUGGGAGAAGAGACGAAGAAUGACGGUGUCCAGC
rnacentral:lncRNA from 1 species